rnacentral:rRNA from 1 species
UACGGGGGGGAGCAAGCGUUGUUCGGAUUUACUGGGCGUAAAGGGCGCGUAGGCGGCCCGAUAAGUCCGCUGUGAAAGUCAAAGGCUCAACCUUUGAAAGCCGAUGGAUACUGCAGGGCUAGAGUCCGGAAGAGGCGAGUGGAAUUCCUGGUGUAGCGGUGAAAUGCGUAGAUAUCAGGAGGAACACCGGCGGUGUAGACGGCUUACUGGACCAUUACUGACGCUGAGGCACGAAAGUGUGGGGAGCAAACAGG